CUCUCUCUCUAACAAACAAAAGGUCUUAGAUAUCUGUAUCUUUAGCCUCAUUUGCAUCAUUCCAUAGAAAACUUAAAUGAACUAGGUCUUCUGAAGCUUUCUC